rnacentral:rRNA from 1 species
UACUUAUCGUACCUGCUUGUUAAUGCCCAAUCUUGUCAGCUCUUGGAAGCUAAGCAGGGCUGGGCCUGGUUAGUACUUGGAUGGGAGACCACUGGAGUAAUACCAGGUGCCACAGUGU